GCCCGAGUGCUCCUAUUCUUAGCGCUGGAAUGUACACAAUGCUCAGCGCCCGCCGCUCCUGCGCGCAGCGCCGGCAGCGGCAAAACUGACCGCGGCACAAACACGGCCAGGAAUCACCCGCUAUGAAUCACCUACCUACUGAAAGAAACCUCCCGCGGGUUCAUAGGGUUUUGUCCAGGCUCUAGCUAUGGAAAAACUCAGCAGAGAAUAAACGACAGAGAGUAAGUGCAUGCAGUGAAGGACAACAGAAGUGAACGGAUAUUUACAGCAACAUCAAAGUCCUGAUUUGUUCCCUUGGAGCUGGAUAUUUCAAUAAAAGCUGCUAAGAAUUUGGGGUUUUUUUUCCUGCCAAAUCCAGAAUUCAUCUCUCUCGUAUUUUGCUAUGGAAGAGGGAUCCACUAAAGAGUUUCUCUUCAAAGACCAGGACUUCUCCUCUGAACUGCUGAGGCAGCUGAAUGCUCUGCGGCAGAGCAGGAUGCUGACCGAUGUUACCCUCUGCUCUGGGGGCUUUGAAAUCCCCUGCCACCGAAAUGUGCUGGCUUCCAGCAGUCCAUACUUCAAGGCAAUGUUCUGUAACAACUUCAGGGAGAGUCACCAGCCUAAAGUCGUUCUGAAGGGCAUCGACGCUGAUAUUUUGGAUCAGAUUAUCCUUUAUGUUUAUACUGGGGAGAUUCUAAUAUCCACUGAGAAUGUCUUGUGCCUCUUGGAGACUGCAUCCAUGCUGCAGUACACUAAGCUGUUUGAGGCCUGCUCUACCUACCUCCAAGACAAGCUGACUCCUGACAACUGUCUGAGCAUGAUCAGACUGGCAAAAGUCUUGAACUGCCAAAGCCUGAACAAGAAAGCCAAGGCUAUGGCUUUGAAAUGUUUCCCUGUGGUGGCUUCUUCUGAGGACCUGAAGGACCUCUGUCCCAUGGAGCUCAUCGAUUACCUUGGGGAUGAUGAACUCUGUGGGGAGGAGGAGCAGGUCUUUGAGGCACUGAUGGUCUGGAUCCGGCACGACCUCCAGGCACGACAAGGCUACAUCCAAGAGUUGUUCAAGAAGGUCCGACUUCAGUACGUCCAUCCAACUUUCCUCUUCCAUUUCAUUGCUAAUGACUCACUCGUUCAGUCCUCACCCACUUGCAGGAGCAUCCUGGAGUCAGCCCGGAGACACAUGUUUUCCUUGUACAGCACCAACACGCCUGACAUCAAACCCAUGAUGCAUGUUCCUCGCAGGUACUCCAGCCAAGAGUUCCUCAUCAUCAUUGGUGGCAGGAAGGACAGCCAGCAGACAACGAGGGAUGUCCUGCUGUAUGAUGACAAGACGAACCAAUGGCUGAGCCUGGCCAAACUUCCCAUGCGCCUGUACAAAGCCUCUGCAGUGAGUUUACACAGCAAUAUUUUUGUGCUCGGAGGGAUGCCUGUUAGCAAUAAGAAAAGUCUGGUCAGUGGUAAUAUUUACAUUUACUCCCUCAAACUCAAUCAGUGGAGGUUGAUUGAGCACAUGCUAGUUCCACGUUACUCCCACAGAAGCCUGGCAUAUAAAAAUUAUAUUUUAUCAUUCGGUGGAAUUGGUGAAAACCAGGAAAUCCUGAAUUCUGUGGAAAGAUACGAUAGUGUCUACAACACCUGUGAGAGCAUGGCAAACAUGCCUGUUGCCGUCCUUCACCCUGCUGUUGCUGCCAAAGAUCAGAGGGUUUACCUCUUUGGGGGAGAAGAUAUACUGCAAAACCCUGUUCGGCUUAUCCAGGUUUACCAUGUCUCCAGGAAUAUGUGGUUUCGUAUGGAGACCAGAGUAGUGAAGAAUGUCUGUGCACCAGCUGUCGUGAUUGGAGACCAGAUUAUCAUCGUAGGUGGGUACACCCGGAGAAUAAUUGCUUAUGAUACGAAAGACAACAAGUUUGUUAAAUGUGCAGACAUGAAGGACAGACGAAUGCAUCAUGGGGCCACUGUCAUCAAGAACAAGCUGUAUGUCACAGGAGGACGAUGUCUCACCUCGGACAAUGCCAUCAAGGACCUGGAUUCCUUGGACUGCUAUGAUCCAGAGACUGACACAUGGACACCACAGGGAAAAAUGCCGCACAAACUCUUUGACCAUGGGUGCCUUACACUCCAAUGUGUCCCCUGCUCUAACCUUCUCUAAACCACUUUUGGUACUUCCUUGAUAUUUUGUGCUUUUCUUCCCAGAAAGGACCCACCUCAGUCUGCAGAGAGCACGUGGGGAAUCUUCAUGCGAUCCCGCAAAGUCCUGACCUUGAAGGUACCAGCAGGGGUAGUUCUUCCCAGACCCUGAGCCAGAAAGGUCGUGAGCUUUGAGCUCACACUGUAUUCACCUGGCUGAUAUUGCAUGUGGUGCUGCUGAGUCUGGUUUGGAGGCCUUACCCAGCAUCUGAUGAGGAAACACGAAAAAGAUACUGGACCUGGAAAAGAGCCCAUGAGACAAAGUCAGUGACAGGAAGCCAGCUUUCCAAGAAGAGCAAGUCUAAAUCUGCCGCUUGGCAAAACAGCUCUGGCUCCACCAAUAUUUUCGUGGGGUUCUGCCGCUAAGUGCAUACUUUUAAAGGGAGGGGAUUAAUCACCAGACACUGAACAGGCUGUGAACUGCUCUUAGGUCACCCGUCUUGGUAAGAUUGCUGAGACAGCAAGGAGCUUUACAGAUGACCACUAUCCAGAGAAAGGAUGGCAGAAACAACACCACUUUUUCUUCAUAUUUGAGAGAAAGUGGGACUUUUCAAAGGGCACAGGUUGGCAUGAGGAAACCACGCUCAACCUUCCUCUUCACAAAAGGCUGCACAGCCACGUUGUCACCUCCACAUUGCAGAAAACCAGCUCCAGACACUAAGAUUGCCUCACAAAAACUGAGCAGAAGAGUACAGAAAUCGUUAACAAAGUAGAGGGCUGGAAGGAAGUAUUUAGUAUCAACUGCUGGUUUAACAAUGCAAAAUAAAAGGGCUAUUAUUGUUUGCAUGAGCCUUGUGUUCAGGAGGCCCCAUUGUUCCCUCCCUUUGUUGAUAAAGAGAAUUGGUUUUGCACCAGUGGGUAUUGCCAGGGUUUCCUUCCAAGGAUCUGAAUAAACCUGCAAAAAAUGAGUGGGAACUCAAACUCCUCUCCUAGCUGAGAAGCCUUUGGCUAGAUUUCUCUUCUGUCUUUCAGUCUAUAUCAUCAUCUCCUCCUUGUGCAAAGCAGAACUAAAUCAUGGCACUUGCCAAACUGAGCUGGAGCAGUGAUUCAUCCUUGCUUCCUUACAGACCAGCUCCAGCUCCCUGGAGAAAGAAGCCUUGUCAUGGCCAAUUAUGGAAAGUCUGCCCCAGGGAAAUGUUUAUUCCUAACCCUGCAGUGCUGCCUUCCCAAACUCCAUCCUGUUGUGACCCCACUCAGCUCCAAACUCCAGGAGACGCCAGUUGCUGCCCUGCAUUUUAGCUGACAGAUUCCUGCCAGGCUCGUGACUGUACCCAAAACUGAGGGGGAAAAAAUUUGACUUGGGGCCAUAAUCCCAUGUUUGCAAACCAUGGCCAGAGUCAUUGCUUUACCCUUAGAAGCGAACAGACUUUUUUUAAAUUCCCAUAUCAUAUAACUAGUGAUUUUCUCUUUGUUCAUGUGGGACCAUGCAGUACCUUACACAGCUGGGCAAGAAAUGGGGAGUGCAAAAAAGAGGCAGGGUUGCAGCAGGAUUGAGCACAGCAUUUUUUCCCCCAUCUCUUGGGGAAUUCCCUACUUCACCCCCAGCUCCUUGGAAAUGCCAAUGGCUAUGACCAGCUCUGCUCUGGCUGCAGCCCUGUGCUCCUUCCCUUCACAAACUUCUCACCUCAUGCCCAUAAUUCAAGGACUUUGGGAUUGCUGGGCAUUAAAUUCAAAACCUGGUUUAUAAUAGGCUUUUGUCUUGUGGUGAGUUUUGAUGCAAAGGUUUUUGUCAGGCUCUCUUUGAAGAAGAGGGGUUGCAAUCAGAAAACAAUGUUGAGCCUUUCCAAGACAGAUGAGGGAUAGCAAAGUUGGUUAGUUAUGGGUAGGGAGCAGCACACGCAGCUACAGGAUGGGAUACUCAGCUCUGGGUGGGCACUAUGGGGAGAAGGGAUGUUGCCUUUCUAAUCAGGCGCUGACCACCACCUGGCCCACCUAGACCGGUACCUAAUACCAUCCUCACUGCUUUACAGUAGAAGUACUCUCAGCAAGAAUUGGCUAAGGUGCCUCUUUCUCCAUUGUCAGGAGGGGAUUUUCAGGGCAAGAUCUGCAAGGCUGUCACUACCUGAUACACUUUUACAUGCUUUUUCAGUGGUCUGAUCAUUUAAAUAUUCAAGCAUUUGAGUACUCACUUAGAUGGAAUCCCCCAUGGGAGAGCAGCAAGGCUCUUCACAAAUACAAUGAUGGCCCCAUGGAAAGGCAGGAAUUUGUUGCUUUUCAUUUAAUAACCAUGGAAGCCAUAGAAAAAAGGGUUUUGAAAAAGAUUUCUUCUUGCAACUUCUAGAAGGGUUGAGCACCUGCCACAUUUUUUCAAAUGAGGGAUUGCUCUAAAAGUUCAUCACCACCAAGGCCUUGUUCUCGGGUGCUCUGACACAGUCUCUAGAUCAUGUAAACCAUAGGACCACAUGGCUGGAACGGGUCUGUUCCAUGGGACAGUUAGUUACCUAGUCUGUCAUGAUACUUGUCCAAAACACUGAAAAUCUGCCACAAGAUGCUCUGAUCCCUCCCCAGGUAACAUACUUGAGGUGUUAUUGGCCUCAGAGUUUUUAAUACUAUCUUCUUUACUGUAUCUUCUGCCACAGAGAUAAAUUGAUUAUCCUUUUAGAUGCCAUGUACUUUUUACAUCUUUAGAGUUUAUUAGGACAUUUCAAAGUCUGUAGACUAAACAAACCCAGCCCUUUCAAUCUUUCCUCAUAAGUCAUGUUUUCUAGACCUCUGAUCACUUUUGUUGCUCUCCUCUGAACAAUUUUCAGUUUGUCUGUCGGUGUUUGUUUUAUUUAUUUAAGGGCAGGGCUACGGCUCAGCCUUUCAGUGCUGAGAAGGGCAAUAAACACUUUCUGCAUCUUACCUACAGCAUUCCUGGUCUCAGAGCCAGAAGGAUUUUGUUUUUCACAGCAGCAGCACAAUACUGACUAGGCUUCAGCUGUCGUCGCAGUUAAGGAAUGUUUGCAAGUUUGGGCAAGGUCACAGGGAAAGAUUGCAGGACAUCCAGAAUCUCCCAGGGUUAUUCCCUAAAUCCAUCUUUGCUUUUGCUCAUCAGGAUCCCAAAUAAGAACCUGUUGAAAACAAUGUCUCUCCAUGGCUUCAACGAGAGGCUUUGGACAUGGCCCUAAUUAUUGUGUUCUCAGAUGGGUUCAUCAAUAAUUCUAUUCAUUUUAACAGCAAAUAUUUAAUGUUUGAGGGGUUUUGUUUGGUUGGUUUCAGGCAAAAAAAGAAAAGGAAGGGAGGAGAUUGCAUUUUCUUUACAACUUUCUUCCUCUUGCCUUGCUGCAAAACCAGAGCUGAGUCCUGCUGCACAGGCAGCCUGUGGCAGCAACUUUGCUUUGAUCUCAGCAAAGAGUCGUAGGUUAAGCCUGUGUUUUUUCACUGUAACUGUUUAUCAAACAAUGCAGUCCUUUCCAAGGGCAGCCUUUUUCUUCUGCAGUAAUAUGUUUAUAAUUUUAAUGCAUUUCCUGCUUCUUUUUGAUUAAACACACCUGACAAAGUAGGAAAGAUGUCAAUGCAUAAAUAAACGGGCACACCAAGUUCAUUGCUUUGUCAGUCCUCUUUUUCCAAAUGCCAAGGAGUUCAUUGUGAGGUGAAUCCUCUAGCUAAGAAGGAAACAAUUGGGUAGAGCAUAUAUGAAUAGCGUACAGGGUAAUUUAUCCCUGGCAUUGUUCCUUAACCUGAUCUGAGAGCCAUUAAUAAUUGACAGCAGCAAAACCAAUCCCUUUUUAAAAAUAUAACCAUCCAUACUUUUUUCCAGAUGGUUGAAAGCUCCCCCACAGAAGUUGAAGUCAUAUUCUCCAUGGCACAGUGAGCAUGAAUUCCUCAGUGCAAGGUUGCACCUGCAGAGGAGCUGAGAUCUGCUAAUUAGUGGACUGCUAAUAAUGUUUUCAGUGUGCUAAAUCCAGUGAGGUUUCCCACAGUCCAAAUGAAGCAGAGUUCUUAUGGACAAACUGAUGUCUCAGGCUGCUGGUGGCACCAAUGUCCGCAGGGCUCCUCAGGGUUUGUGUUGGAGCCCUGAGAGAUUGAUCUGGCCUCUUCUGUUUAUUGAUGUUUCCAAAAUAGUAGCAGAGUAGCGAGGAGCCCAACUGCUCUGUCACUCGGCAAGUCACCCACUGGCUCCAGCUGCCGCCUGUCACUUCUCUCCCCAGGGCUCUUUCUUUGCCUGUACUCCUUUCAUGUUGCAAGAACCCUUUCCUAGAAAAGCAAGCAGCAGCACAUCUCGAGCAGCUCUGGGCCAAUAUGCACAUGUCUCGCAGCUGCUUUAAACACAAGUCAUCCCCACAGCUGUCAGAGACUUCUGCCUUAAGAGUUAGGGGUAAGCCUGAGGUAAAACACUGCUGGAGGUGGGAAAAGGUGGAAGAAUCUGGUCCACUUCUUCAUUUGGUCAGGAAGAUGCUUGUAACCAUCCAUAUCUAAUCUUCCCAUGUCUAGUUCCCUGAAGUUUGUUUCUUGACCAGACUGUGCCUUCCGAUGAAUUAGGCCAUGUCCCACCACCCCUCCCUAAAGCAGGCAUGCUGGGACAAGGACAAAUGCAUAUCUGCUUUCUCAGAUCCCCCAGUGCCACAUCUGUAAUGACGUCUCCUGAGUUUUGCCCUGGUCUUGGCACAUUGCUGAGUUUUCUCUCUGCUCUCAGAUACCUUCCUAGGCUCUGUAGUUGCCCUGAACCAAUGUUUAGCUGUGGCAAUGACCGCCCAGAGCACCAGGAAGUAACACCAAGGACUCUCAAGUCCAAAUUUUCAAACUGAUGGGAUGCUUCUGGUCUGGGAAACCAGCCCAAAUCAAUCUGAGUCUUAGAGCAGAACCCUGGGACUUCUCUGUAAGACCUGGGGGACUGUAAGGGAAUUUGUUCAGCCCUGAGGAGCAGAGAAAAAACUUAAUGGAGAGUGCUGUAAUGUGAAACUUGGCUACAAAACUUCAGUGCUGGGAAAGGGCACUGUUUUAUCCAGAUCAGCAGCAAGCCCUGGAAUUAAUAGGCUUGAUUAAACUGUUUUGAUGUGCAUGGUAUGUGGAGAUAAGGGCCCAAUUCCCUAGGGUUUCCAGUGAAAAUUAGAUGUUAACAUAACAGUACGUGACAUUC